CCCAGCGUGCGUUGCUGGCACGUACACGGCCGAGGUCAGAACGUACAUUCAGUUAUUGAUCGCAGUUGGCCUUUGUAUACCUAGAAACCAAACCCAUUUUUGCUCAAGAUAAUGUUCAGAACAAACUCGAGAUUUCUAGGCACAUUACUUCUAGUAUGCAGCUCAUCGCUAUUGAAGACGGCCACAUCGUCGUGCUCAAGCGAAAGCCUUCCGAACUUCAUGGACUUUGACAAAUGUUUUGUCAUUCCAGAGGACCUCUGCACAAAUCCUG